AGCGAACGCUGGCGGAAUGCUUAACACAUGCAAGUCUCACGGGCAGCAAUGUCAGUGGCGGACGGGUGAGUAACGCGUAGGAAUGUGUCCUGUGGUGGGGGAUAACGUCGGGAAACUGGCGCUAAUACCGCAUAUGUACGGAGGGGCAAAGCAGCAAUGCGCCAUAGGAGGAGCCUGCGUCCGAUUAGCUUGUUGGUGGGGUAAAGGCUUACCAAGGCGUGGAUCGGUAGCUGGUCUGAGAGGAUGAUCAGCAACACUGGAGCUGAGACACGGUCCAGACUCCUACGGGAGGCAGCCGGCGACAAUUUUGGAAAGUGGGCGGAAGCAUGAUCCUGCAAUUCCUCGUGGCUGAAGAAGGUCUUCGGAUUGUAGAGCCCUUUCGACGGGGACGAUGAUGACGGUACCCGUAGAAGAAGCCCCGGCUAACUUCGUGCCAGCCGCCGCCGUAAGAC
rnacentral:rRNA from 1 species